UCUAAUAUAAACCUCCUACAUAGCACGGACAAUCUCCUCAUGUUGAGCAUGUAUUUAUCGAUCAGAUGACCGAGAAUACAAAACGAUAUUGUUACUUUGAGCCAUUUGUUGGUCGAGAUCAAGAGUAAUAAUACCAACUAUAAGUUAAUUAUUAACAUCUGCAAUAAAUGGUUGGUUUAUAUAAAAAGGUGAAAUUUCUUACAAGAUAUAAUCUUGUGGGUUAAUGUUUAUAUUAAAAAAAUAAAAUCAUGAUAUAAAAUCGCAUGUCCAAACACUAAUUUCAUAUCAUGAUCUCAAAUUACAAGAUGAAAUCACAUAUUCAAAUUCCUACUAACUAAAUGUAUAAUAAUUUUGACGAACACCAUAUUUUUUUUUGACGAAAACCCAAUUCUAUUGCUCCGACUUGGUAUUAGGUAACUUAGAUAAAAUUUCUCAUUUUUAACCUCCUCUUCCCCUUCUAGUUAUUCUUAUCCAAAAAUCCUACGUGUUCGUUAUAAUUGUCAUAUCUUUAUCCGAGUUAAUAAAUACCCCUAGAACAAAAAACAUAUGUGUUAUGAAUUUGAAUCAUCAAGAAAAUAAAAUAGAAAGAGAGCUUUUAAGAUAUUUUUUACUUUUUAGAUAUAAAUGUGAUAUUUUGGGGGGCAAUAAACUAUAAAUUAUUACCAUACCAUCAAUCAAUUACACCUAAGAGCGUCUAUACCCUUGGUUGUCAAAAAACAAAAUUUAGUGAACCUCAGAGCUAAUUAUAAAUUGCAAAAAGUAAAUGACUACACUAUCUCCUUCUCUUAGUUCCUUUGAACAUGUCUACCCUUUCUUUAACUACACUUUGGACUUGUUGAGCCACAAAAUUUGUCUGUACAAUUACCCCUUUUAAAAUUUUGUAAUUCCUAGUUAGCCAUGCUUGAUAUACUACUGCUCUUUAUCCUUUAGGGUGUCUUGCACACAUUGUGGUUCCAAAUUUAUUCCAAUAUACGUUUUAAUUACCCUUCAAGCAUCCCUAAACUAUAUACAUUCAGGACGCGCAUAAGUAUACAUUACACAUUCAACAUUACCCUAUCCAGCACCUAUCAUCUACAACCUAUCUUUGAAAUGUCAUCAAAUGGUUCAAAUGUCAUCAGGUUGUGAUCUUUUCUUUCUCAAAUGCAGCCUGAGUUUGGUUGACUAAACUAUGUAGCACUUGUUUAAGUCUACUAUACAUCAAUUUGGAGAUAUAUUUGCACACAAUAUUAAAGCAGGCAAAUGGUGAACUAACUUGCAUUUACAUGCUUAUUCACCUCAGGAAUUAAGAUGAUUACUAUGGCAUUAAGUUGUUGCAACAACUUACUAUUCUAAAAAAAAUCCAGAAUUACAUCUGUUAGCUAUGCCCUUACUAUAUCCCAAGAGUCUCUGAGGAAACCACUAUUAUAGCUUUCUUUACUUUCUUCAUUUUAUAACCAUUAAGUAAUGUCAUUUGUUAGGACACUAUCAAAAAACCAUAGAUAGUGUAGUCCCAAUCUUUAGGAACAUCUGGCAAGCUUUAUGUCUUGGUGUUUUUCCUAUUUCUCCAAGAAGUUUAGUGCAGUUCUGGAGAAAGAUCUCAAUAAUCUUUUGUGGCUCAGUAUGGGUUUACGUAUGAUCAUCUUGCAAUUGUAUCACUACCUGAGCUAGGCUUCUCUACUUUAGAACUGAGUAAAAGUACUUAGUAACAUCACCAAGCCAGAUCUAUGUAGCUUUGCUUCUUUGAACCAAUUGUUUUUCUGCCAUAUAACUCACUUUCUUGAACUCUUUUCCAACAUCUCUUUCUCCUUAUGCAAGUGAUGAUUACGGGUAUCAUUUUGUAACUUGUUAUGGACAUCUAAUAGCUUCCCUCUAAGGUCAGUUACUUCAGCCAAUAUAUUACUUAAAUGCUAAAAGUGUAUCCCCUCAGUACAAUUUUCAGCUUCUUAAGUUUAGUGGUGACUUUAUAUAUAUAAUGGCCUUUGACCUGGUACAGUUAUCCCUCUCUCAUCAUACAAUGGCCUUUGACCUGGUACAGUUAUCCCUGUCUCAUCAAGUUCUGAAACUAUUGGUGUUGACUCUACAUAUUAGAGUACUUAAAAAGAGGUCUUUUCCUUGGCACAAUACCUUCAAGUUUAACAUGAAUUGAGCUAUGGUCACUUACCCCUUCAUUGAGGAAAUAAUAGUUACACCUAAGCAUCUCAUCUACCCAUACACUAUUUAUUAAAGACCAGUCAAUAAUACCCUAUUAGUUUCUCCUUUAUCAUUCCAAGUUUAAUUACACCUAGUACUAUCUAUUUCCUCUUACAAACAAGUAUUUAGGCAUUUUUGAAAAUCAACUAGCUCUGCUAAAGAGACAAGGUUGCCCCCUACUCUAUCCCCACUAUGCUAUACUGAAUUGUAAUCCCAUAAAACCAACCAAGGGAUGUGCAUCCCAAUACUCAACUUACACAAAUAACUUCAUAGGUCUUUUCUUUCCCCUCUUCCAUUGUGGGCAUGUACAAAAGUGACAUGAAUUUUUGUUGUAGUUUAAAAUCUUUGACUAAGCAUGUCACAGCUUGAGCAUUCUUAGAACAAAUAGUAACUUCAGGUUUAUCUUCUCUCCAAUCAACCCAAAUUCUCCCAUUAUAGUGAGAGACGCGAUCAGAGUGAUACUUUUAGCCACUAAACAUACUAUCUGCUAUAUUUAUCUUAGCCUCAAGUAGACCAAAUAUAUAAGUUUUAACUGAUUACAGAAGAAUUUUACCUCGCUUUAUUUUAUGAGACCUCUAACAUUUCAACAGAUUAGGUUAACUAGUCCCCACAGAGAUUGGUCUAGUAUCAACCAUAUUUUUCACUCCAGUGUAUUCCACUUCCACAUGCUGCUCAAAGGUUUGAAAAGAGUUUGUUGUAGGAAUUGUUGAGGAAGAUGGAGGUUGUACAUUUCUCUUAAACACUCUCCUCUGAAUUCUAUUUCCUACAAUUUUUGCUCUUGGACCUUUUUCUUCCCUCUACCAACUUGAGUUGCAAUUGGUUUCCUCUCCAGCUGGUUACCUUUGGAUCUAGUUGCUUUUCGAGGUGUAAUUUCCUACAUUCCUCUAUUUUAUGACUAUACAUAUGAUAGUGUUCACAUAUGGAAGGCUUCCAAUCAUAAGUCACCUUCUGUGUGAGCCACUACUCUCUUUUCAUUCUUAAACAACACUUCAUCAGGAAAAUCUCCAUCCACCCUGACCUCAACAAGUAGCUUUCCAAAGCUUAAGCCCAGUUUUUUUAGGGUGUUGGUCAACCAUCAAAGGCUUCCCCACUAAGCUGCCUAUCUUACUAAGUCCUCUAACACUCUAGUAUUUAAAAUCUAAUCUGGAUAGCUUAAUCCAUAUAGGAACAGUCAAUAAUUACUCCUUCAAAAACUCCAUCUCUUGGGACUAAGCUUUGAUAAUAAGAGGUUUAUUGUCAAAAUAGUAGUUACCUCCUUGUAGAAUCUUUAAUUUACCCUCUUCUGUGUCAAAUCGAACCAAAACAAUACCAUAUUUCCCCAUAUAUCCAUUGUAUGUAACUAUUUAAGACAAAAAGGGAGGGUGAUAUCCUAGGACUUAACAGACAAUAAUGCUUUGCCAAUGAUCUAAUUCAGAGCUAAUAUCAUCCAAUUAAAUUUCCCCUAUCAGUUCGUCUCCUAUACUCUCAGGGUUAACAUAUUACAGUUUGAAACAUGAAUUAGCAAGUUUUGAUAUGUCGAAAGUUUUCCAAAUUGAAUUUACCUUCACAACAUGCCUUUUCUCAGAUCCCCUCAUCUGUGUGCCCCUAUUUAGCUGGUCAUCAACUUGAUCCAUCUCGUUUCCUCAUGAUAUUUUUGAACUUGCUCCAGAGAUAUGUUAUGUCCAUUCUUAGACUGUAGCUUCCACCAGAGUAGGAGGUAUCACUGGUGUAGAUAAAUUAGUUUGGGUCAUAAUUCUCGUGAUACUUUAUUGGUCAAUAAUCGCUAUUGCUCCAUGAGGCUUUGUUGGAAGAGGACCUCAAUUGAUUGACGUUUCCGAAUAAGAAUUGGAUGAUCACUUUUCACCGACAAGCUUGCCAUUGAACUUUUCGUCAGGGUUGCGUUCUUCGAUCUCCUCCCAUGGCUGGCGCACGUUAGUUACGUCAAAACAUCCACAUGUUAUUAUUAUUUAAAAUAUAAAAAAACUACAUAAACUAAC
rnacentral:lncRNA from 1 species